rnacentral:sRNA from 1 species
UCUCUCAAGAUUUUCAGAGGUUGUUGAAGUCAACAGGUUCACGGAGGAGCCUCUCCAUCUGUUGUGCCCUUGUCCUGAUUGACAUGUCCAACACCUUUUGUUGGAACUCUACGAUUAGUCCACCGUAGAUACUUGGAUCAAUCUACAAACAC